UACGAAGGGGGCUAGCGUUGCUCGGAUUGACUGGGCGUAAAGGGCGCGUAGGCGGUUCGUACAGUCAGACGUGAAAUCCUGGGCUCAACCUGGGGGCUGCGUUUGAUACGUGCGGACUUGAGUGCGGAAGAGGGUCGUGGAAUUCCCAGUGUAGAGGUGAAAUUCGUAGAUAUUGGGAAGAACACCGGUGGCGAAGGCGGCGACCUGGUCCGAUACUGACGCUGAGGCGCGAAAGCAUGGGGAGCGAACAGG
rnacentral:rRNA from 1 species